UACGUAGGCAGCGAGCGUUGUUCGGAAUUACUGGGCGUAAAGAGUGUGUAGGCGGUGCUCUAAGUUCGGUGUGAAAUCUCCUGGCUCAACUGGGAGGGUGCGCCGGAAACUGGAGUGCUUGAGCGUGGGAGAGGAAAGCGGAAUUCCUGGUGUAGCGGUGAAAUGCGUAGAUAUCGGGAGGAACACCUGUGGCGAAAGCGGCUCACUGGACCAUAACUGACGCUGAGGCACGAAAGCUAGGGGAGCAAACAGG
rnacentral:rRNA from 1 species